CUUGGUGACAAUCAUUGCAUUAGUAAAGUUUCCCUAUACCGUUGAUUGCUUCAUGGUGAUUAAUAAGUGUUGACUGCCCACGAAAGGCUUUGCCACACUCAUUACACUUAUAAGGUUUCUCUCCAGUGUGAAUUCUAGUAUGUUGUGUCAGGUGUGAAUCACGCCCAAAAGCCUUGUCACAAACAUUACAUUUGUAUGGUUUCUCUCCAGUAUGAAGUCUAUGAUGGCAUGUAAGGGAUGACAUUUGAGUAAAGGUCUUGCCACACU